GUGAUAUAGUAAUAGUCCCUUACAUGGACAAUUAUGAUCUUGUUGUAUUGAAGACAGUAGCAAUUUGUGAGUAUGGGGUCCGUACAGUCACAGCGAAGUAUGUAAUGAAAUGUGACGAUGACACAUUUGUAAGGAUUGAUGCUGUAAUGAAGGAAGUUAAGAAAGUCCCUAGUGGUAGAAGCCUGUAUGUUGGUAACAUCAAUUACUACCAUAAGCCCCUUCGACAUGGUAAAUGGGCA
rnacentral:misc_RNA from 1 species